UACGGAGGGUGCAAGCGUUGUCCGGAAUCACUGGGCGUAAAGGGCGCGUAGGCGGCUCAUGAAGGCUGUGGUGAAAGCCCGGGGCUCAACCUCGGAUCGGCCGUGGCGACUCGUGGGCUGGAGCACUGUAGAGGCGGGUGGAAUUCCUGGUGUAGCGGUGGAAUGCGUAGAGAUCCGGAAGAACACCAGUGGCGAAGGCGGCCCGCUGGGCAGUGGCUGACGCUGAGGCGCGACAGCGUGGGGAGCAAACAGG
rnacentral:rRNA from 1 species